UACGUAGGGGGCAAGCGUUGUCCGGAUUUAUUGGGCGUAAAGAGCGUGUAGGCGGCUUUGCAAGUCCGUUGUGAAAACUCGAGGCUCAACCUCGAGACGCCGGUGGAAACUGCAAAGCUAGAGUCCGGAAGAGGUGAGUGGAAUUCCCAGUGUAGCGGUGAAAUGCGUAGAUAUUGGGAGGAACACCAGUGGCGAAGGCGGCUCACUGGACCGGAACUGACGCUGAGGCGCGAAAGCGUGGGGAGCAAACAGG
rnacentral:rRNA from 1 species